UACGAAGGGGGCUAGCGUUGCUCGGAAUCACUGGGCGUAAAGCGCACGUAGGCGGACUUUUAAGUCGGUGGUGAAAUCCUGGAGCUCAACUCCAGAACUGCCUCCGAUACUGGGAGCCUUCGAGUCCGGGAGAGGUGAGUGGAACUGCGAGUGUAGAGGUGAAAUUCGUAGAUAUUCGCAAGAACACCAGUGGCGAAGGCGGCUCACUGGCCCGGUACUGACGCUGAGGUGCGAAAGCGUGGGGAGCAAACAGG
rnacentral:rRNA from 1 species